rnacentral:rRNA from 1 species
UACGAAGGGGGCGAGCGUUGUUCGGAUUUACUGGGCGUAAAGGGCGCGCAGGCGGCUCAUUUUGUCAGGCGUGAAAGCCCCGGGCUUAACCUGGGAACUGCGUUUGAUACGGAUGGGCUAGAGUUCGGGAGAGGAGAGUGGAAUUCCCAGUGUAGAGGUGAAAUUCGUAGAUAUUGGGAAGAACACCGGUGGCGAAGGCGGCUCUCUGGACCGAUACUGACGCUGAGACGCGAAAGCGUGGGGA